rnacentral:lncRNA from 1 species
ACUGGCUUCCAAGUACAGUAACAUUGGGAAUUAAAGCUUCAAGAUAAGAAUUUGAAGUAUUCUCCAAUUCUUCUGAUAAUUGCUACUGCCCCAGUGCAAAAUAGACACUGCAGUAGGCUUUGGACUGUGGAACAUCUGCUGUUUCCACCAGUACAGAGUGUAAACCUUGCUGUGAGACGACAGAAGAUGUGACCCAGGCAUGAUGGUGACAUUAUUUUCCUGUUAGUCUUUUCUCACUGGGU